UCUUAUUGUUAUAUUGGUUAUAGCAUAAGAAAUGUGACUGGACAGAGCCAGUGUCCCAGGAUCUUUGCUUUAGCAUUGGCUAAGGGAGAUGCUUAGGGAACAGUAUAGGAACAGAGAACCCUCAGGGUGAUUCACUGCAUGAAGGCAUACACUUCCACUGAUAAGUACUUUAGAAACUUGUGGAGCCAGACUGUGCACCCAGACCCAACAGUAGCUUGAAAUCAAAGGGCACCUUCUCCAUGAAUUUGUCCUAUUUUGAACUCAGCUGUACUCCUGGCUACCAUACUGUUUGAUGGCAGUAAGUUCCACACUUUAAUACUGUGUUGCUGAUGGACCCCAGCUGGAAUGGAUACAGGAGGCUGAAGAUUCCUCAUCUCCAAGGCUCUCGGGAUCCUCAGUUUUAUUGGUAGCCUGUGUGUGUUGAGGUGGUGUAAGUGGUUAACCAUGAAGACACUGACCUUUCAUGUAUGCCAGGAGGUGCGGGGAUCCAGGAAGGAAAGCGAUCAUAUGGCCAAAUGCAGGAUGGCUGGUGGGAAUAAAGACAAGUGAAAUGGAAAUUCCCAGAGCUGAGGAGAAAUCAGAACUCAAACAGGUCCUGCUGUGCCAAGUAACUAUGGCCACUGGCUUUCUGGCUGCCCUGCACAGGGUGGGACUGGGGGUAUUCCCUCACCCCUUCCCAUGGAGGUAUAGUUGAAUUCAGCACCACUGUGGGCUCCAUCCCCUCAUCAGGACAUUGACUGCCUUGCAUUGCAUCGCCAGAGAGACCUCAGCAAUGUGGAAAACCAACCCAAACCAUCAUCAUAUUACCAGUCAGAGUGGGUAAUGUUCACACUUACAGCGGGAGCAUGGCGCAGGCAGCGCCUUGGGCUGCCAUGCUCUCCCAUUGGUGUCAUGGGAUUGUGAGGAAUUUAGUGGCUUCCUUCACAGGUGCGUGCAGGACGGUCCCUGGGUGGGCACAGGGGCAGAGCCCAGGGUCACGCCUGGACCCGGGUCUGAAGGAGGGAGGUGUCUCAGGACCUAAAGACUGACUGGGCAAAGUCACCCAUGUGUGAAGCUGGAGGCACCAAGCGAGUCCCCUCAUGGCAGGGUGCCGGCAAGGUUCCCUUGGCAGCGGCUGUCCCGCUCCGGAGUGGAAAACUCUUGCUGGCUAUUUAUAUUUUGUUCAGUGGAAGAAAGAGGCCACACCCCCAUCUCAUUAGUGUAAAAAAAGCAUCGACAGCUCUGUAGUCUCCACCUUUCCUUCUCCCAUGCUCCACUAUCACGCCUGGUCCUGAGCCAGCCCGGUUUAAUAGGUUACCCUGCAAACGUGGGGACUGCGGUGCUGUGCAAGGUUGUACAUUCACAGGAAGCAUAUGUGCAAGGAACCAUAACAGCAGCAGACUAAGGAGCGAUAGCCCUGGCCAGCAACAGCGAGAGAUGUUAAUAUUGCUGGGGAAGGUGAAAACAUAAUUGAAACCAUUUAUAUGGGAGCAUGUGGGACUGGAUGAGGCGAUAGUUUCUGAGCAACAAAUAUCUGUAAUUCACUUGUACCAGUCUUACAGACUUUUAAUUUGCUCUACAAAUUUGGUUAGUUGGAGAACACGUAAACACCAAGAACUGCACAGGGCGAUCCAUUAAACAUUAACUUAUUGUAGACUUAAAAAAACCCCAACCACUCUUAUGAUAUUAAAAACAUAAGGGGAAAGAGAUGCCAGGCUAGUGAAUGAAGCCAGCUGACUGCUGAGAAGAGGCUAUGGUUUUGCUCCGUAGCUUUGCCGUUUUCAGUAAUCUGACUCACUGAGGUAUAUUUAGACACAGUAACAAACUCCAUUGUUAAGUAAUUUUUCAUUUGAAUCUUCCUCAAAUUAUGCUGUCCUCUUGGCCCCUAAAUUCCUUUCUUCGGUGAGGCAGUGCUGCCCUCCACGCCCUGAGGAGGAAGGGGAGCCGUGGAGGACUGAUGAUUCGGACCACAUGGUGGAAUAAGAUAGAUCUCAGCGUCAGGUUGGCAGGAUAUUUCUCUUUCUUCAAAGGUCUCCAAACCCAGCAAGCUUUUCUUUGAUAUCUUUCCAAACGGAUUUAUCAGCAUUGGGGCAUACAUUUGUUUAGAUUGUUCCUGUAGGGUGGGACUUUCAAAAGAGCAGAAGAGUGCCAAGUGCCAAAUUCUCACCAAGUUCUCCAUAAAGAUUUCCUUAGCUCCCUUUGAAAAUCCUAGCUAUGUUCCACAUUGCUCUGCGCAUCCCUGCUGGAAAGGUGCCUAUGGUACCCUCACAGUGUGGGUACAGGGGGUACAAGAAAGAUGGUGACAUUUCAGAAAACAGGCAGAGGAAGAACUGGCUCUAGACAGAGAAAAUGCAUGAAAAUGUGGAGGUUGGGAGGAAACAAAGAAGGAAAUGGAGACUGUACUCCCUAGACCCACCAUCUUUCUUUUCCUUUCUUUAUCCUUCCUUCCUGUUUUCCAUUUCUUCUGUUGGUUUUCUCCAACAUGUUGUUGUUACAAGAGAGGGGAGCGUACACUGUGUAUAGAGAGCAUGGGCAGAGCUCGGAUCCCACAGACACCUGCUCAUGCUCUGGGCUUCAGGUGUGUUGAAACAGAUGCAGGUGACCUAAUGGUGCCAGGUCUGAUCCUCCUUUGGCCUCCUGAAGCAGAGGCUGCAGCGCUAGGACAGAAGCCACAGAGGUUUGGCAUCUGAUCAUCUUAUGUACUUUUCAUAAAGUAGCAGUUGAGACCACGCCAAUUUUUAUGUGCUACCUCAGGAGUAAGCAAGACAUCUAUGGCGAGCUGCAUAGGAACAUCCAGCCUAGCAGCUACUGAAUAACAAAUGAACUGAUGGCCAAGCAAGGGCUGCCAGAGCCAUUGUUCUCCUGCCCUGAGGAAAGGGCCUGAUUAGGGCUGUUUGGAAAGCAUGUCAGAGAAGGAAUCUUUAUUUUAUGAGUGAGGAGCUACAGUGGCUAUUUCUGAUCUGUUAUCGGUGCAUUAAUGAUUUGUGAGCUACAGCAGGGUUUG